rnacentral:rRNA from 1 species
AAGUCGAGCGGUAACAGAGGUAGCUUGCUACCCGCUGACGAGCGGCGGACGGGUGAGUAAUGCAUAGGAAUCUGCCCGNUAGUGGAGGAUAACCUGGGGAAACCCAGGCUAAUACCGCAUACGUCCUACGGGAGAAAGGAGGCUUCGGCUCCCGCUAUUGGAUGAGCCUAUGUCGGAUUAGCUAGUUGGUGAGGUAAAGGCUCACCAAGGCGACGAUCCGUAGCUGGUCUGAGAGGAUGAUCAGCCACAUCGGGACUGAGACACGGCCCGAACUCCUACGGGAGGCAGCAGUGGGGAAUAUUGGACAAUGGGCGAAAGCCUGAUCCAGCCAUGCCGCGUGUGUGAAGAAGGCCCUCGGGUUGUAAAGCACUGACAGCGAGGAAGAACGCCUAGUGGUUAAUACCCAUUAGGAAAGACAUCACUCGCAGAAGAAGCACCGGCUAACUCCGUGCCAGCAGCCGCGGUAAUACGGAGGGUGCAAGCGUUAAUCGGAAUUACUGGGCGUAAAGCGCGCGUAGGUGGCUUGAUAAGCCGGUUGUGAAAGCCCCGGGCUCAACCUGGGAACGGCAUCCGGAACUGUCAAGCUAGAGUGCAGGAGAGGAAGGUAGAAUUCCCGGUGUAGCGGUGAAAUGCGUAGAGAUCGGGAGGAAUACCAGUGGCGAAGGCGGCCGUCUGGACUGACACUGACACUGAGGUGCGAAAGCGUGGGUAGCAAACAGGAUUAGAUACCCUGGUAGUCCACGCCGUAAACGAUGUCGACCAGCCGUUGGGUGCCUAGCGCACUUUGUGGCGAAGUUAACGCGAUAAGUCGACCGCCUGGGGAGUACGGCCGCAAGGUUAAAACUCAAAUGAAUUGACGGGGGCCCGCACAAGCGGUGGAGCAUGUGGUGUAAUUCGAUGCAACGCGAAGAACCUUACCUACUCUUGACAUCCUGCGAACUAGUGAGAGAUCACUUGGUGCCUUCGAGAACGCAGAGACAGGUGCUGCAUGGCUGUCGUCAGCUCGUGAUGUGAGAUGUUGGGUUAAGUGACGUAGCGAGCGCAACCCUUGUCCU